rnacentral:lncRNA from 1 species
GAAUGAAGCGGCCGCGGAAAAGUCGAGCUAUCGACUAUAACUUAGCGCUGGGUGGGAGGCAACCCACUGUAUCCUUUUUAUCUGUUUAUUUACUUUAUUAUGUUUUCUGCAUUAACUUAGGAAGUUUAUUUUCACAUUCAUUUAGUAUUCCGUUAUGUGGUCAUCAAUCAUCUAGGCAUUUCAAAGAGUCCAAGCACUGUGCACAUGAGUCAUUAAGAAUCACACACAAGUUCGGGUUGAUUCACGUUGUUUUGGGUAGUUGACUGUGGAAUUCACGUAUUUCGAGAAAUAUUAUGUUUUCUAAAUUUCACAUGUCAAUAUUUUAAAAAUAUAUUUCUGAAAAAU